UGCAUCCCUAUGUUGUCAGGCAGUCGUCGGCUCUGGCUCUGCUUGCUGGUUGAUCUAGCCCAUCCGAUUCUCUGGAAGAAAGAGUAGAUAAGAUGUCCCAGAACGCUGUUGGACACUCUCGGUAAACCUUCUUAGGCACAGUGGGGAAUCCCCAAAUGGGGAUGAAUCAGGGCAUGGAUUCACUCCGCUAAAUAUGCUUAGAGAUGCUAAAUUCUCAACUAACAUGGCGCUGAAUAUGGCGGCGUUGAAACUUCGGCACUCCUUUCGCUACCUCCACAGAUAAGUGCGCAGCUGCUUUUGCAGUUUCGGUCACUAACCAACCAUACCUCUAAUGGUGAUAUUGGCCUUGUUCAAAUUUCCCUCUUGUUUAUGUUUAGUUUCUCCACAUCCCGAAUGUUACUCUCUCCCUGAUAUUGUGGGUCAUAGUGCGAAUUCAUCACGAUUACCCUUCCAUCUUCUACUCAUCACCACACCACA
rnacentral:sRNA from 1 species